UCCGUAGGCGGGCAAUUAAGUCAGAGGUGAAAUCCCACAGCUCAACUGUGGAACUGCCUUUGAUACUGGCUGUCUUGAGUUAUAGUGAAGUAGAUAGAAUAUGUAGUGUAGCGGUGAAAUGCAUAGAUAUUACAUAGAAUACCGAUUGCGAAGGCAGUCUACUAACUGUAUACUGACGCUAAUGGACGAAAGCGUGGGGAGCGAACAGGAUUAGAUACCCUGGUAGUCC
rnacentral:rRNA from 1 species